GAUGAACGCUGGCGGCGUGCCUAAUACAUGCAAGUCGAACGGACAUAGCAAUAUGUUAGUGGCGACCGGGUGCGUAACACGUAGCUGACCUACCCUGGCGCGGGGGACAACAGUUCGAAAGGACUGCUAAUACCGCAUAACCCGAUGGGACCUAGAACCCUGUCGGGAAACUCACGGGGCGCUGGGAGGGGGCUGCGGCCCAUCAGGUAGUUGGUAGGGUAGUGGCCUACCAAGCCGACGACGGGUAGGGGGCCUGAGAGGGUGGUCCCCCACACUGGGACUGAAAGACGGCCCAGACUCCUACGGGAGGCAGCAGUAAGGGAUAUUGCGCAAUGGGCGAAAGCCUGACGCAGCAACGCCGCGUGGAGGAUGACGGCCUUCGGGUUGUAAACUCCUUUGGACGCAGACGAGGAAGGACGGUAUGCGUCAAACAAGUCACGGCUAACUACGUGCCAGCAGCCGCGGUAAAACGUAGGUGGCAAGCGUUAUCCGGAUUUACUGGGCGUAAAGCGUGUGCAGACGGGGCUUCAAGUGGUGUAUGAAAUCGCUCGGCUCAACCGGGCGGGGUUAUGCCAGACUGGAGUUCUAGAGACAGAGAGAGGGACGUGGAAUUCCGGGUGUAGUGGUGAAAUGCGUAGAGAUCCGGAGGAACCCCUGAGGCGAAGGCGGCGUCCUGGCUCUGGUCUGACGUUCAGACACGACAGCAUGGGGAGCGAACGGGAUUAGAAACCCCGGUAGUCCAUGCCGUAAACGAUGCCAACUAGGCGCUGAGGGACUCAACCCCCGCGGUGCCGCAGCAAACGCGAUAAGUUGGCCGCCUGGGGAGUACGGUCGCAAGGCUA
rnacentral:rRNA from 1 species